rnacentral:rRNA from 1 species
GUGGGGAAUAUUGGGCAAUGGGCGCAAGCCUGACCCAGCAACGCCGCGUGAGUGAAGAAGGCCUUUGGGUUGUAAAACUCUGUUCUAUGGGAAGAAGGAAGUGACGGUACCAUAGGAGAAAGCUCCGGCUAACUACGUGCCAGCAGCCGCGGUAAUACGUAGGGAGCAAGCGUUGUCCGGAAUUACUGGGCGUAAAGGGUGCGUAGGCGGCAGCUUAAGUCAGAUGUGAAAUGCCGGGGCUCAACUCCGGAGCUGCAUCUGAUACUGGGCCGCUAGAGUGCAGGAGAGGAAAGUGGAAUUCCUAGUGUAGCGGUGGAAUGCGUAGAUAUUAGGAGGAACACCAGUGGCGAAGGCGACUUUCUGGACUGUAACUGACGCUGAGGCACGAAAGUAUGGGGAGCAAACAGGAUUAGAAACCCUAGUAGUCC